rnacentral:rRNA from 1 species
UACGGGGGGGGCAAGCGUUGUUCGGAAUUACUGGGCGUAAAGGGUUCGUAGGUGGCCAACUAAGUCAGACGUGAAAUCCCUCAGCUUAACUGGGGAACUGCGUCUGAGACUGGAUGGCUUGAGUGCAGGAGAGGAACGCGGAAUUCCAGGUGUAGCGGUGAAAUGCGUAGAUAUCUGGAGGAACACCGGUGGCGAAGGCGGCGUUCUGGACUGCUACUGACACUGAGGAACGAAAGCCAGGGGAGCAAACGGGAUUAGAUACCCCGGUAGUCCUGGCCCUAAACGAUGAAUGCUUGGUGUGGCGGGUAUCGAUCCCUGCCGUGCCGCAGUUAACGCGUUAAGCAUUCCGCCUGGGGAGUACGGUCGCAAGGCUGAA